GAUUCUUCCAUGCAUAAAUUUCUCUUCUUUUUGGCUUCAAAACCUGAUCACAUCAGCCUUGUUACCGCCCCUCUCUUAUCCCAUGUUUAAAUAGGAAGAGAGUUUGAUUUUAGAUAGGAGAUAAGAGUUCAAACUCCUUUGGACUUUAGAAUUAUUGUGCCGCCCAACACCUCUCCUUUUUGUACCAAGAUUAUCUUGCAAAGAAAGGAGUUUAACUAUGAUUUCUUACACAUAAAAGAGGAGAAGGUGUGGGAUAUUUGUGGCAUCCAAAAUCUGAUAGGCGUGGGACU
rnacentral:lncRNA from 1 species